rnacentral:rRNA from 1 species
GUGGGGAAUAUUGGACAAUGGGCGCAAGCCUGAUCCAGCAAUGCCGCGUGUGUGAAGAAGGUCUUCGGAUUGUAAAGCACUUUCGGCGGGGACGAUGAUGACGGUACCCGCAGAAGAAGCCCCGGCUAACUUCGUGCCAGCAGCCGCGGUAAUACGAAGGGGGCUAGCGUUGCUCGGAAUGACUGGGCGUAAAGGGCGCGUAGGCGGAUGGCACAGUCAGAUGUGAAAUUCCCGGGCUUAACCUGGGGGCUGCAUUUGAUACGUGUGAUCUGGAGUGAGGAAGAGGGUUGUGGAAUUCCCAGUGUAGAGGUGAAAUUCGUAGAUAUUGGGAAGAACACCGGUGGCGAAGGCGGCAACCUGGUCCUUGACUGACGCUGAGGCGCGAAAGCGUGGGGAGCAAACAGG